CUUCAAAACCCACUAGAACUUUCUCUUCAAACACACAAAACUCUAAAACCAUUGAAACUUCUCUUACUCUCUCCGACUCAGCUUAGGGUUUGUCUUUGCUUUCCUUUUCUGUUAGAUCCAGUUUCUUUUCAUUUUCAAGGACAUAAAAACAUGUUCUUGUCAUCUGCCUAAUUAAUUUCUUCAAUAAUCUGGUUCAGGAAAGAGUUGUAUUUUGUCAAAAUUCUUCAAAAAGCUCUCGGAAGGGUCGAGAUCCAACACCAAGUGAGGUACAUUUGGAUGUUCAUACACACGGUCAUGAUGGAAAAUCUUUUGUUGGUGACUAAGCUCGAAUCAUGCAUGAAAAAUAUCAAGAAAUACUACAAAAUCAGUCACAGACUCAGUCUGAAGUUGAUCAAUGUCAAGCCUAUUACGAAGCCGUAGGAGGGGUAAAGAAAAAAAGAAUAUAUGGUAUUGGAUCUCAAGCACACUUAUAUUAUGGGCCGAAUCUCCGUUCCUCUUCUUCAUCUGAUGCUACAUCCUCAGUACCACCUCUGAAUGCUCAACCGGCAGCGACGAGAAAUUUGGAUGAGUUAUGACGCGAUAAUUCUUGCACUGACUAAUAGCAUAAUUCCUACACUGACUGAUCGCUUGCUUCCUAUAAUUGUUGAGCGGGUACGUGGAUUGAAUCCUUCAGUCUCUUCUCAGACGGACACUCCUAACGACCAUCCAUCAUCUAUGGCACCUAUAGUUCCAGCUCCAGCUGUGGCCAACAUUGAUCAAGUUCAUGCAUCGAUUUCUGAUGAUGAUCGUGGCUCUCCAGUCUCUCAUUAGUUAGUUUUGUUGUUUAGACUUUAUGGUUGUUAGUUUUGUUGUUUAGACUUUAUGGUUGUUAGUUUUGUUGUUUGGACUUUAUAGUUUUUGCAUAUGAUUUUGAAUUUUUUGAUUUGGGUAUUAUCGUUGUGGAUGCUUUAAACUUGAUUUGCAUUCUGCUAUGUAUUUUGGACCUUGUAGAAUAUUAGUUUCUAUUAAUUAAGUUAUUA